UUAUUGUGGGCCGGUACAAUUACUUUGAACAAAUUAGAGUGCUUAAAGCAGGCUUCAAAGGCCUGAAUAUUCUGUGCAUGGCAUAAUGAAAUAAGACCUCUGUUCUACUUUCAUUGGUUUUCAGAUCAAGAGGUAAUGAUUAAUAGAAGCAGUUUGGGGGCAUUAGUAUUACGACGCGAGAGGUGAAAUUCUUGGACCUUCGUAAGAAAAACUUAAGCGAAAGCAUUUGACUGUGGAGAGUUGCCUU
rnacentral:ncRNA from 1 species